GGGGAUGUAGUUCAGUGGUAGAGUGCUUACCUAGCGUAUGUGAGGCCCUGGGUUCUAUCUCCAGCUCCUCA
rnacentral:tRNA from 1 species